UCCCAUAUUAAACAAUAGGUCUGAGAAGGCAUGAUAACAUCAACAUAGCACUUUAUCAGAGAAAGACAUGCAUAAUAUUUCCAAUAUCUCAUUUGUCACCAUCCCUUUUCUAUAAAUGUUUCUCAUAGUAAUCCGAAAUCGGCUCCAUAUUAACUUUGUCCAUCUUGUUUUGAGUGGAAAUCAUAGCUAUCUUGCUGUAUUCCGACGAAACUGAAAAAAAAAAGAAUUGACCAUUAGUAUUUUGGUAAAAUUGCCUCUGUACAUAUUAUGUUGCUGGUGAGUGCCAAAAGAUUAUCCAAAGUUACAACAUUGCCAAAAUAGCAUCGGCUAUGUCUGACAUGUGGUCUCAUGGCCUCAACUUUGGAUGGUAUGAUCACAAUUAAGUUACAACAUAAUCCUAUGCAUGGUGGCAACUUCCCUGUAAUAUUUCAUCGUUCCAGAUAAUAUCCAAUGCCAAUUUCUAUGUAACAUUCUCUCACAAGACCAAUAUUGUAAAGAUUAAAGUUAUGCAUAACGGAUACCAUGGUUUUGGAACAAAGAACGAUAUGCAGUAUAUUAUUCACAGAAACAUGUCACUAAGGCAAGAGCAUCAAACCUUAAGGCUGGAACCUGACUAUAAGCAUAAGAGUGAUGCAAAUACUACUUAAAAAUAAUAACAAACAGACAGCUAAACGCAAGAGUUUUAAAACUGAAUCUAACUGCAACCUAAUCACAAGUGGAGACAGCUAAGCGCAAGAAUUUUCAAAAUGAAUCUAACUGUAGCUUAAUUACAAGGCGUUAUUUCUGCAUUCAAAAAAAUGACAAGGGUUUGAACAUGGAACCCUGAUCCUUCUACAAUGCAUUACAAGGAAAGGUCAUCACCAACUCACCAGAGUUUCAACUUGCCUGCAUAGUACAGGUCAAAGCAGUCAGCAAAUGAAUGGCUAACAGUAGAUCGGUCUAGAUAUUAAUAGAUAUGUCACAGACUCACAUGCAGGACCAAUUCUUUAACCAAACGUAUCAAAUACAUGCUCCCUCAUUAAACAAUAGUCUGACAAGUAACAAGAGUAACAUCAACAGACUAUAUUUUGCAGAGGACAUGCAGAAUGUUUAGGAAACGAUAAUACCACAGAGGAUUUCUUCUAAAAUGUUUCAUUUACCACUGUUAAAUCAGUUCCACGUCAACUAAGCUAUUCCCUUUUCAAGGAACCAUUAUCUUCUCAUGUUAUUACUACAAACCAAACAUGGAAUCAGGCAUUGAUAAGACCCACCCAACGACAAAUUCAGCACUACAUUCUUAUCCAGAAUGAUAAUUUUGAGGACCCACAAUGUUAAAGCACAAUAACAUGUAACAAUGACCAUUUCAUCUUUGGUGAACUUCAUGAACUGAAGUUUUGGGCGUCUGGACAAACCUGUUGGCAUCGUGGAUAGCAGAGCUUUAUUUUUUUGAAAAUUGGAUAGCAGAGUUCUUACAUACUUCAAGUAUUUCACACUACAAGCAUGUCAAGCCUCAGGGUCAGGGGCACCCUCCAUCCAUAGAAUACAAUGUAGAGCACUAUUCCAUUUAUUAAAAAAAUAUGUGGUCAGGCUGCACGCCCAGCCGCAACCAAAAUAACUUUGGCAGAAAUUAGGUAACUAUCUGGUAUUAACAGCACAUGAACACACUCACAUACAAAAUAUCAGAUCAAUGGUUAUGAGUAAAUGAUAAUAAUUCCUCGCAGGAGAGCUGGACAAAAGUGGAAGUUGCAAAACUCAACGUGACGUAGAAAAGAGAGAGCCAAACGCAAGGUAUUAACCUUAAAGUCCAACCUGAUGUCCUGAUUAAGCAUUAAGUAUCGAGACAAGAUAAAUCCAUUAGCUAAGCAAUACCAAGAAAGAUGGCUGCGCAUAUUUUCAACUAGCCUACAACAUAGGCAACAAAGAUUAAGUCAAGGAGGUUAGUAAAAGGACGACUAAUGAUGCAUAACAUGUAACCACGUUUGAUUAGGUCUGCUUUAGUUGAUAAACAUAUGACAACCUUUAGAGCUAAUUUGCUGACCAAAUAGUAGAGUUCCCUUAUUAAAUUAUAGAUAUAGAUAUGAGGCAUGAUAGCAUUAACAAAGCACUUAUCAGAGAAAGACAUGCAUACUAUUUGCAAUAUCUCUUUGUCACCGUCCUUUUCUAUAAAUGUUUCUCAUAGUAAUCUGAACUCUUCAGCCAUCUUGUUAUGAGUGGAAACUAGCUAUCUUGCUGUGUUCUAACUAAACUGAAAAUAGAAUUGGCCAUACAUAUUAUGUUGCUGGUGAAUGCCAAAAGACCAUCCAAAGUUAGGACAUUCCAAUUUUUAUUUUUAUUUUUUGAGAAUGUGACUGUUUGACACGUUUUCAUUAAGCGAGGAUAUGGCAAAAUAGCAUCUAAGUUUCACUAUUAUGCUAUGCAUGGUGGCAACUUCCCUGUAAUAUUUCAUCAUUCCAGAUAAUACCGAAUGCAAUUUCUAUGUAACAUUGGAGACCACCAAGUUAUGCACAUUGGAGACCAUGGUUUUGGAACAAAGAACCAUAUGUAGUAGUAUCUUAUUCAGAGAAACAUGUCUCUAAGGUAAGAGCAUCAAACCAUAAGGUUGGAACAUGACUACAAACAUAAGAAUGUGAUGCAAACACUAUUUAAAAAUAAUAACAAAGAAACAGCUUUAGG
rnacentral:lncRNA from 1 species